AUUCUAAGGACUGCACACCAUUCUCUCUUAAGCAUUCAUCCCGGGAGCACAAAGAUGUAUCGAGAUAUCAGAAGAUUUUACCACUGGCCAGGGAUGAAGAGAGCUGUUGCCAUAUGGGUUUCCCAGUGUCAGAGUUGCCAGCGGAUAAAAGCUGAACACCAAGUCCCAGGUGGCUUACUUCAAAGCUUACCUAUCCCUGAAUGGAAAUGGGAUGCAGUAGCGAUGGACUUUAUUUCUGGUUUACCUCGAGCACCCGGCCGUGGAAAUGAUGCAGUUCGGGGACGAAUUCUUUUAAGGGGGGAAGAGUGUAAUAACCCUCACGAGCCAAUAAAUUUAUGGUCGAGAAAAAUCCCGCUCGACCAGUUUUUUUUAGUUGGUUCGACAAAGAUUAAUAAAAAUAAAAAUCGACCGUUAGAUUAAUUUCUCGACAGGACUGUCUUGUGGUUGAAAGACCUUCACUUGAUAGUUUGGUCGAGUCUUAAAUAUUUUGGUCGAAUUUUUAUUAAGCUGGACGAGAUUUUCCGAGAAUAAGACGAGAGCCAAAGAUAAGGAAUAUUUGGUUGAAAAAUUAUUUAAAACUGUCAACCAACUUCCAAAAUAAUUUUUGAACUGAGUUAUGUCCUCCACCAGCCUGGUUGUGCAGUUAUUCAGUCUUAGACUUACACCUGCCUGCUUACCUAGUUUCUUCAGUAACUGGCACAUGACAAUCACAAGCUGCCUGCUUGCCUUGUUUCUUAGAUUGUCAUAUGAGAAGCACAUGAAAGGGCUGGAGUUUCUUCAGGUUAAGGAAAGGACAGCAGCUUGUGCUGAGAUUGCUGAAGCAGCUGGCCAGCUGUCCCCACUCAGCUUAGCUCUGUCUUGAGUGAAACCCUCACCUGAAGCAAGCUCACCUCAUAUUUAACCCCUCUCCAGCUCCUUCCCACGUUCUGAAACCUCAUAAAAAUACACAAAAUUUUCAGAGAGAAAGAGAGAAAGAAGAAGAGAAAAUCAGUGAGAAAAUCAGGAAAUAAAAUCAAGAAAAAAAUUGUUGGUGAUUUGAUCCUCAGCCCUAGCUCAGUCAGUUUCUGUUAGAAAGAUCAGAAGUUCAGCCACAAUCUAAUCUUGGAGAAGAGGAUCAGCUGAGGCCAUCUAGUCCUUUGGUCCAUCUUGGUAAGCUUUGGUCUCUUACCUCAGUCAUGUCUUGAUCAGAGCUAGUUGAUGUUUGCAUAAGAACUUGGUCGGAUAAGUUCUCUAAGUGGUGAUAUAGUUCAGAUUUUGAUUAAUUUCGGUUUGAAUCAACCUCUUAGAACCACCAGCUAUGAUGUUCUGAUCUGGCUUUGAUUAAACCAAUUAGAACUCAGUCUGAUCUUGUCCUGAAAUUUGGUAGACUGACUAGAACCAAGCUGAACUGGUAUAGUUUGAGUGGAACCAAACUUGAACUGAUCUGAUAUAAGGUGUUAAAGCAUGAACCAAACUGAUCUUGUAGUCAUUCACUUCUGUUUCAGGUCAGAGGGGGAGUAAGGCUUUAGGUAUCCAACCAGUUCCAACACUAAUCUCUUAGGUGAGUCUAGAUAGAUGUUGAGAUUGAUUAAGUUAGGAAAGUCUCUCAAGUUUAUAAGAAUGGUGUUAUGUUUACUUAUUGUGAACUAUACAUAAGAGUAAUCAAAAUGUUAAAGUAAGGUUAA